CAUUUCUUAAUUUAUUGAUGUUCCUUGAGUGUAAUUUUUUGCAUUAUCAACCUGUGCAGAUAAGCCAAGGCCUAUCCCUAUCCUGCUCAAACCAAAGACAUGGAAAUGCGCCAUCCGUAGAGAUUAGAGAGCUAUAAACAGAAUCUCAGGGCGAGAAUACCAAUAUCGAAGUUAUUCCAGAGAAUUCUUCCAGGACACAGAGACCGGAAAGCGAGAUCACUUGGGGUGGAGCUAUUCUCCUGCGAGACGCACACGAGAAGUUGUUGCCAUGCUGAAUUGCGAGAUCCGUAAUAAGCGCUUCUAUUGGCUAUCAACAUUCUGCUCCCAGAAAAAGAUCUUGUUUGAAUAAUAAGUACUUGUAGCCACCUCCUUUUACCUAAGGUCAUGUCAUUGUAUUUCUUUUCCAACAAGCAUGGCGGUAUUCUUGCCCUGGGCAGUGUCAGUUUUUUGUCGAAAUUCUGUUGCAGAGUUUCCCAGUUUUAUCUAUGGAGCUGUAUAAACAGAGUACCACUGCCAUUUAGAGUUAGUGUUCUGUCUGCUGCAUAUAUCGGCAAUGUUAUUUAUGAAGGAUUUAUGAAGCUGUUGAUUUCCCCUUAAUACUCUGCAUCAAUUUUUUUA